rnacentral:rRNA from 1 species
AGCUCAAUAAGCGUAUACCAACGUUGUUGCAGUUAAAAAGCUCGUAGUUGGAUUUGUGGCGCGGCCGUCCGGCGGGGGUCCUUCUAUGGUCUCGUUUGUCCUGGUUUUCGGCCGCUCCUUUCUCGGGUAGAGCGUAAUGGCUGGCAUUAGGUUGUCGGCCGCUUCGCGCCCGUCGUUUACUGUGAAAAAAUUAGAGUGUUCAAAGCAGGCUUAGGCCGUUGGAUACAUUAGCAUGGAAUAAUGAGAUAGGGCCACGGCGGUCUAUUUUGUUGGUUUGCACGUUGUGGUAAUGAUUAACAGGAACGGUUGGGGGUAUUCGUAUUCAAUUGUCAGAGGUGAAAUUCUUGGAUUUGUGGAAGACGAACUACUGCGAAAGCAUUUACCAAGGAUGUUUUCAUUA